rnacentral:rRNA from 1 species
UACGAAGGGGGCUAGCGUUAUUCGGAAUUACUGGGCGUAAAGCGCACGUAGGCGGCUUUGUAAGUUAGAGGUGAAAGCCUGGAGCUCAACUCCAGAACUGCCUUUAAGACUGCAUCGCUUGAAUCCAGGAGAGGUGAGUGGAAUUCCGAGUGUAGAGGUGAAAUUCGUAGAUAUUCGGAAGAACACCAGUGGCGAAGGCGGCUCACUGGACUGGGUAUUGACGCUGAGGUGCGAAAAGCGUGGGGAGCAAACAGG